AAACGUUAAAGAAUUGACGGGACCCGCACAAGCAGCGGAGCGUGUGGUUUAAUUCGUUGCUACACGAAGAACCUUACCUGGGUUUGACAUAUAGGUUGUAGGGAACUGAAAAGGGACCGACCCUUCGGGGAGCCUAUACAGGUGUUGCAUGGCUGUCGUCAGCUCGUGUCGUGAGAUGUUCGGUUAAGUCCGCUAACGAGCGCAACCUUCGUCGUAUGUUAUAUGUGUCAUACGAGACUGCCGGUAAAAGCCGGAGGAAGGUGAGGAUGAUGUCAAGUCAGCAUGACCUUUAUAUCCAGGGCUACACACACGCUACAAUGGUCUGUACAAUGGGUAGCCAAGCCGCGAGGCGGAGCCAAUCCUGAAAGCAGGCCUCAGUUCAGAUUGCAGUCUGCAACUCGACUGCAUGAAGCCGGAGUUGCUAGUAACCGCAGGUCAGCAAUACUGCGGUGAAUACGUUCCCGGGUCUU
rnacentral:rRNA from 1 species